UUUUAACACCAGCCUAUUACAAAAAAGUAGCCACAGAAAAUUAAUUAUUCGCUCGCUCAAACAUGGCGUGAUCUCUUUUAAGAGAUAAUUAUUUAGAGGUUCAUAAUUCUCAUGUGACCCAACACAAGAGUAUGCAUGCCUCUUACUUAGAGUUGGAUGCCACUCUUAUAUUCAGAGCCAGCAGUGAAGCUUUCGGGGAUGACAUCAUCGACGACGCGGUAGCCGCCAUUCUUGACAAGGAAGCGGACAGAGAAGGGGCCCUUGAGCGGCGCCUCACUUUUGAUCGUCCAGGUGUUAGAUGAUGACUCCUUGAGCGCCACCCAGUCCUUGCCACCCUUCUCCUUGAUCUCCACCUCAGAGAUGGCGAUGUUGGUGACAAGCUCUAGACUACUGGCGCUAGAGCCCUCAGCGACCUUGAAGGUGAGCUCAGUGGCACAUGAGCCAACAACCAACAGUGCUGCCACCGCCACGGCAAGCCGGAAAGAGGACAACGAGGCCAUUGGCUAGCUAGUUUGUUUGUUGGUGUAAUCUUCCUUGUUUCUUGACUGGUACAGGGAUGGAUCGAUAUGUUUGGUGAUACAUGUUACAGUUGGGUGCGUAUUUAUGGUGGAGGGAGGGUAAGCAAACUAGGCAUAGAUGCGUGGAGAUCGUUGGUAGACUUUUUCAUUGAGGGGUUCUUAUACAAUUGCUAUAAACAGAUGCUAGUUGGGUGGUCCCGGUUGUUUCGCUAGCCUAGGGCAUGCAGGCCUCCCAAAAAUCAGCUAUGUGGUCCCAUUUCUUCUCUACUUAUGUUUUUUAAACUUAGAAUAAUGAUAAUUAAUCACCUCCUCAUGAUCUGUUCAUGGAGCAUGUGAACCGACACAUGCGGUUGAUGGAUCUAUUGACCGCAUACUUGUAUGGGGCAUUAGAUUUGGAACUUUAUCUGAGAGUCCCUGAAGGACUCAAGAUCCCAAAUCCGAAAGGAAAUUGCAACAUCUAUAUUGUUCGCCUGCAGCGAUCAAUGUACGGAUCAAAACAAUCCGGAAGGAUGUGAUUCAAUCAAUUAAAUAGAUAUCUCCUAAAGAGAGGUUUCCCAAAGAAUUAUGAUUGUCCCCCUGUGUUUAUAAAGAAAUCCCUGAAUGCAUUUUGUAUCAUCUCGGUCUAUGUCAAUUAUCUAAAUAUCCUUGGCACCACACAGGACAUUAAACAAGCAAUGGCUUAUCUUAAUAUUGAGCUUGAGAUGAAGGACUUGGGGAAAACCUAGUUCUGCUUGGGCCUAUUGCUCGAGCAUCUCCCUAAAGGAGUGUUUAUGGACCGGUAUGAAAACCUAGCAUGGAUGUGCGGUGCAGCAUGGAGAUCUUUGGUAGGCAUUUUCAUCGAGGGACUCAUACUAUUGCUUUAAGUAGAUGCAAGUUUGGCGGUCCUGGUUGUUUCGCUAGCGUACGACAUCUAUGCGGUCCCAUCUCUUCUCCACGUAAUUUUUUAACUUAUUAAUAAUUAUGAGAAUUAGUCACCUCCUCAUGUUCUGUUCAUUGAGGAUAUGGACCCAUACACAAACAAAUUAGGGGCCGGGGGGAUAUGCUAGUGGAAGAUAGAGGGGUGGUCGAGCGAAUGGUCGGGAGGAGUGAUGGCAAGGCACCUAGGGGCAUUGUGUGGCACACGUAAUAAACUCGGUUGGGGCAGCUGCCUUUGUUGGGGUGCAGUGGCAGUGGGCUGGAAAUAUAGUUGGCCAUAAGGCCCGAGGCCCGAAGGCCCGGCCCACGGCACGCCUUUUUGGCCCGGCCCAAGCACGGCACGGCCCGACUUGGAUCGGGCCCGUGCUGGCCCGGCCCGACCGUCGGGCCGUGCCUGGGCCUCCCCACCGGCACGCUGGGCUGGCCCGGCACGGUCGGGCCGGCCCGGCACGAUGGGCCGGCAGGCCAGGCCCGGUACAUAAAGUAUGGGGACUAAAAAUAGACAUAUAAAUGUAACUGUCUAAAGAAUAGGGACCUUAAAUAGACUUAUUUUAGCUAUUUAUAUACCCCAGCCCAAAGAAGAGGGAGGUAAAAUAGACUUUUUGUAGCUGUACAUAUGUCACAGCCCAAUAGGAGGGAGGAAAUUUAGACUUAUUCUGAGGAAAAGCCCGACGGCCCAUCGUGCCUUCGGGCCGGCCCGGCACGGCCCGAGGCGUGUUGGGCCGUGCCUGGGCCGUGAGUGCGGCACGUGGGCUGGCACGGCACGGCCCGGUGCGUCGGUCGGGCCGUGCCGGCCCGACAAGCCUCGGCCCAGGCACGGCCGGGCCUGGGCCGUGCCGUGCCGGGCGGCCCACAUGGCCAACUAUAGCUGGAAAGGUGCAGGACAGAGCUAGGGAGAUGGUGGAGGAAGUGACACAGAGGGUGACGGGUUGGAUUGUGGUUGAUUUUGGCCCAGGGAGAGAUAUAGUGGUCAUUCAAUUUUUAUGUGAUUUUGAAUAGAACUUCCAUAUGAGUUUAUAGACAUGAAUUGAUGGAAUGAUUUUCACAGAGAUCGUUUGGAGAAUUCUUGAAAUUUGGAAUUUUGGUUUCGAAGGGAAAAUGAAUCAGAUUAUGGGGGGGGGGUGAAACUCAAUGAAUAAAAUAAAUAAAUGGAUUGGGAGGCUCCAAUUCAAAAGAACGACGAACAACGACUUUAAAGAUUUUCACAAAAAAAUUACCUUGAAAACUCUUGUACGCUAUAGUUUUUUUUUCUUAUUAGUCUUUUUCUUUGUUUUGCAUGCUAUAGUGUAGUUCUAUCAUUUCGGAGGAUCACAAGUUUGUCGGAAGUGUUUCAGAAUACGAAUUGAAGGCAUUUGUUUGCAUGGCAAGUCGGACAUAUCCCAAACUUCCCUUUGAUCAGGUUGAUCCUAUAUUUAAAUUCUUUAUUUACUUCAAACAUGUAUUUAUUUGUGGUGUGCACCUAUUCCUUUGUUAUGACCAAUUUGCACUGGUAACCUUAUUCCUUGUUUCCCGGGGUUAUGAAUUCACUAGCUAUGACUUUAUGAUGGCUUUGUUAGAUCAUUCGUUAAUUUGUUGUGUGGCCUAUAGACUACGUUAUAUACCCACCUUGCAAUAAUCAUCAAUCUCAGUUGAAAAAGGAGUAUGCCCCAGUUGAGCUACCUGUCGGAGUGAAUUUAAAGCUUUGUUAGUUUUUCCUUUUUGUUACCGUUUUUGUCAUGGUGAGGACUAAGAAUUUAUUGUUUUAGUUUUUCUAUUGUAUGAUCAAAUAAUAAGUUUGUGUACCUUGACUGAUUUUUGACGAGGAUUUAAUACACAAAUUAAUUUUGAAAUUGCACGUGACACGGAUGCACAUGCUGUUACAUCCAUACGACAUGAGAGCUACAGGUCACAGGAAGUUCAUGGGCAAGCGCCUGGGAAAGGACAUCAUGCAGACAUCAUGUGUGCAGCUAGGAGUCGCUCGAGAGGGCGUGGGAGUGAGGUUGUGCUUACACGAUGGACUAUAGAAUGUAAACCACCACUACAUUUUUUUGACGUAAAGAUUUACUAGUUCUUUGCGUUCAAAUGUUUGGAACUAACGGUAUACUAGUAGUGCAAAAAUAUUUCUAUUUAAAGUUUGGAACUAAUGGUUUAUUUAUUUUAUAUCCUUGCAAUACAUUGGUAUUCUAAUAGUAUUAUAUUACCUUUGUUUUUUAAUAGAUGACGCCGUUGACUUUUUCUCACAUGUUUGACCAUUCAUCUUAUUCAAAAAAUUUACGUAAUUAUAAUUUAUUUUGUUAUGAGUUGUUUUAUCACUCAUAGUACUUUAAGUAUGAUUUAUAUCUUAUACAUUUGCAUAAAAUUUUUGAAUAAGACGAAUGAUCAAACAUGUGAGAAAAAGUUAACGGCAUCAUCUAUUAAAAAACGAAGGGGGUAUAAACUUUCUUGUUGACUGUAGCUUGGGGCAUUGACCAACUAUAUGAUAUGAAGCUUAAUUUUGCUCCUCUCAAAGCUGGCUUCAUUUCCAUCCUACCUAUUACCACUCAGUCGUGCUGCAGUUUGUUUUGACAUCUCAAUAAACUAUACAAUGUACUGAUGUUUUAUCUAUACCUAUAUAUUAAUUAGACACUUUUUUAAACCUCUCAUGUGAUCUAACCGUUGAUUAAACAGAUUGUAAUAUGUCAACCGUUGAAAUUUGAAUCCACAUUCUAUGUGGUGUGGGUCUCUUUAAAAUCCAUCUAACCUAUUGCCAAGCCCAUUGACCCGAUCCGUUUAAGUACAAUAUUUUUUUUCCUUUUUAUGAAAGUGCGUAAUCUUUUUUUUUUUCUAAACCGAUCGAUCAAGCAGUCUAAAAUCGGUGGUGGUAUACAGGGCCAUCCAUAUUUACUGGGAUGCUACUGAUAUCUCUUUUUUUUUUCCAAAACAUCUCGUAUUAAGCAUGCACUACAACGAACAUACAUUACAGAAACAUCUACGUUAAUUAAUAGCUCUACAACAGUCCUUUUAUGAUUUUCCACAGCUUGCACGUACUACUCUCUCCGUUCCAUUUUAAUUUUAGAGUAAAGUGUACGGAUAGUCCUUAUACUUAUUGGGGUGUGUCAUUUAGGUCCCUAAACUCUUAAAAUGCAUAUCCAAAUCUCAGAACUUGUCAUAGUGUGUCAUCUAGGUCCCAAAUCACUACAACCCCUUUAGGAUCCUACGUGGCGUUGAUGUGACAUGCCACACGGAUAUGACGUGGCAUUAUUUUACUGACAAAUGGGACCCAUUUAAUUUUUUUUCUUUUUUUCUUCUCUUUUUCCCCUUUAUUCUCCUUUCUUUGUGACCCGAGCAGAAGAAAGGAAAAAAAAAGAAUGAGAAGAAAACGGAAAAGAAAAAGAAAAAUAAAAGAAGAAAAAAAAAAGAAAAGGACACGUCACGUCCUCAGCACCACCUAGGAUCUUAGAGGGGAUGCGUCGAUUUGGGACCUAAAUGAUACACUUUGACAAGUUCUGGGAUCUGGAUAUGCAUUUUGAGAGUUUAGGGAUCUAUAUGACACAACCCUACAAGAUUAAGGACCGCCAAUGCACUUUAAUUUUAAGUGCAGUUGUGAGUUCCGUGUCAAAUGUUUGAUUAUCCGUCUUAUUUAAAAUUUUUAUUGUUAGUAUCUUUGUUGUUAUUAGAUGAUAAGACAUAAAUAAUACUUUAUGCAUGAUUUAUUCUUUUAAUUUUUUCAUGAAAUUUUUAAAUAUGACGAAUGGUCAAACGUUGCGCACGAAAAAUCAUGACUACACUUAAAAUGGGACUUAAAAUGGGACGAAUGUAGUACUGCAUAUCGAUCUGAUCAGAUAGACGCAAUGGCAAACAUGGGAGGGCACGGCAUGGCCAUGCACACAGCGACAGGUGAACGCUAUUGCUAUUUUCUAUCAAUUAUUAAGGUUUGAUUCUAACUUCUAAUUUCCAGUUCAGUUCUCUUUACAUGCAUGUUUCUCAUCUGUCACAACACGUCUAAUAUAUAUAUAGGAGUGUUAACCUACGUCAUCACCUUACGAUAUAUAUUUUUGAUGUUCAGAUGUUUGAUUUAAAAUUGAUCGACAAGUUUGCUUGCACCUAAGAAGCCAAUCCGUUGUCAUCGUACCCAUAAUUCAUAAAAGUGUUCCAUCUAUUUGCUUUUACAAAUUUUUCUGGCAUUUAGAAAGGUCCAUAGUGUGGUAGCCUCGUACAAUUCAAGUAGUAUUCCAUCAAUUUGCAUAGUCUAACUUUUUUAUCUAUAUUUGAUCUACUUUUAUUAUUCUUCUUAUAUUUAUAUUCACCUGUACAUCCUUAAAUAUAUGGGAUGUCAAGUUUCUUUAGAGAUUAGGAAGGAACGCAAAAAUAAGACAAAUUUAAAUAAGAGAGUGUUAUGGUUACGGAUAAUACAUAUAUACCUCCUAUCUUACGACUUAUGGAAUAUACGUGUAUGGUAUACCUUCACGUACACAGGUUGUAUCUAUACACGUAGUAGGAAUCCAUUACAAAAUAUGUAAAAUAUCUAUACGAGUCAAGUGAUUUCCAAAGUCCUACUUGAAGGGGAUAAAGUUUAUAUUGUAUCGUACGGGAUCUGAUGUUCCCGAGUCUAUACUCCAAAAUAGUUAUACCACUGGUCUGACCUCUGCUGUACCGCCGGUCUGACCGGUGUAUCUAUACACGUAGUAGGAAUCCGUUACAAAUUAUGGAAAAUAUCUCUACGAGUUAAGUGAUUUCCAAAGUCCUACUUGGAGGGGAUAAAAUUUAUAUUGUAUCGUACGGGAUCCGAUGUUUCCGAGUCUUACAUGGAGAUCAAGAUGAUUCACGGUAUAAAAGAGACCCCUAGGAAGGGGUGUAAGGCAUCGAAUCUCAUCGCUAACACACCCACCAUAGUUUACGAAGCCGGAAUACACGGAGCCAAGUCACCGGGAGAUCUCGUCGAAUAUAUCAACUACGAUCUUGCCGGUAUCGUCGAAUUUUUCUACUCCCAUUGAAAUAUGCGGUUUUCAAUCAUCAAUCCCAUAUAAACUGGACUAGUACUAUUACCUGAUAAGGGGCCUGAACCAGUAUAAUUCUUGUCUUCUGUUUGCUUGAUGUCGUAUUACGUAGAUCAUCAUUCUAACAUACCCCAAUACCCUAAUCAUCCGGUCUACGAGUAUCAUUCAUCGACAGUGCAGGAACAUGAACAAUUAUUAUUAGCAAUAAGGUUUAUCGAAAAAUAUUAAGUGAGAGGUGGUUGGGUGAUGGAUGUUGUACACUUAAAUGCUCAUCUCUCUAAGUGAAAGUUAAAACCAAAACUUAACUUUACUGAAAUCCUCCACAUGAUCAGGAUAAUAUGAACCAUUUGAUUCAGAAAAGGACAAAGUAGAAGAAAAGAUCAUAGCCAUCCAAUCAAAUUGAUGCUUAAAAAAAGUUAGAGAAAUAAAAAAAAAUCAUGGCCCAGAGAAACAACUGGAUAGUCUAGAUAGAUACGUUGAUUUUUCUUUUAAUUAAAAAAAAACUGCAUCCAAACCUUCUGUCUCUGGCUUUGCUGCCAGCUGACCGGCCUUCCAUCCCGCCAGCCACACUACUAAAACUUAUGAAAUAUGUUCUAGAUAGUUCAUUUGUAAUCAUUUAUUGUAACAAUAACAUUGUUUAUUUUAGAACAAUAAUACUAAACUAUGUACCAUAUGUUUCUCUAAUUACCUGUUUACAAUAUUACUAUAAAUACAAAGGUGAUAUGGUCGCAUGAAAGCAUGUUAAAUUAUUGGUUGUCAUGAUAAUAUUGUCACUUCAGUGUCCGACAGUUUUGGUCCACACACCUACAUCUAGAGUGUUAAUUAUUAUUGUAAAAUUAAAUUGAUUACUGUAAAUAACAAAUAACACAUUUAAUAUACAGGGAUGUUACGGCCGCGCAAACGCGCAACUCUCUACAUACUAGUAUUUGUGGAUAAAAUUUGAAGUCUAUGACUGAUUAUAUUUUUGGACGAAGGGAGUAUAUAAUAUAUUACAAUGUAUUUUUUCUAUGUUUUAUGAAUUUUCUAUCCUUAUUUUUAUUUUGUAAAAAUUUUCAAAUUUAUGUUCGAAAAAAUGUUCAGACCUUCUGAAACUAUCUGUAUAUAUAGUAUUUAGUUUAUGCACUGGAAAAUUUGCAUUAUAAAGGCGGUCAUGCAUGGUCUGGGGCAAGGAAAAAAAUCAAUAAAUAUGCAUGCAUCUAGCAGGUUUUUCCACUAUGAUGCAUGCGUGGCUUUAGUGAAGUAGGAGUAAUAUACAUACAUAUAUGCAUGCAAGAGAGAAUGAUUAUAAAUAUUUUGUUUAUAAUAAUAGAUUUUUCCAAACUAAUAGAUGAUUUUCCAAAUGGUAUGUGGCGAGACAUGGCUUAUUUUUGUUCCUAUUUCCCUAGAUCAUGGAAGAGAGAAUGAUUAUAUAUUUUUUGUUUAUAAUAAUAGAUUUUCCAAAUUAAUAGAUGAUUAUUGCAAUUCCCCAAUGGUGAUCAAAGGAAAAACUAAUGUAUCCUACAGUUUUUUAUAUUAUUUUAAAAUUUAUAAGCGAUAUUUUUAUUAUGGGCCAAAACAAGUAAUGUUAAGAAUCAUAAUAACUGAUUUCAUAUGCAUUAGGAUAGGACAGUAUAGAAGAGUUCUUGAUUUGGCUCCUAGAAGAAUCCAUUCAUACCUACUAGUGCAUGGUGUCCUAUCACUAUAUGUUAUAAUGUUUAUAUGUUAUUUGAUUUUGAUCCUUUAUGUCAGGUUUUCACGAUAAGUAUAGGUGAGUUAUCCUAUUACUAUAAUAUAUUAUCUGUUGCAUAUGCUUCACCCAGUUCAACAACUUAUGUUUCUAUUAAUAGUCGUUGCUUCAGAAAAUACAUGAUUCCUCCAACAAAUUCAGUGAAAUUACUUUUCUUUUACCAAUGUUGAGGGAUAAAAAUGACUAAAAUUGUUUUAUUUAUAAUACAAACAAUAAUAUAUUGAGACAUUGUAUUAAGAAAACAUGCCAUUGGAAGUCAUAGUCAAAACGAAUUAAAAAUCAUGAAUUUUAUCCACUAAGUAUUCUAUUAAUUAGGAAUCACUAAUUAACAAGGUAUAUAUAAUUCAUAUAAAAUCUUAUUUUAAUUUAACAUAAGAGCUAUUGUAAUUACAAAAGACAAAUAUUCAUUUGCAACUAAAGUAUUAAUAUUUAUGAUGAUAUAAUUAGAUAGUAUGGGUUGAUGGCUAGUGCUUAUAGUUUCAGUUCAUAGUAUGGCUGAGAAUCAACAAUUUGUUUUCAGAAAGGAAAAAAAAACAAGUAUAGAUGUCACUCUACAAUAUUUUUGACACGCUAAAAUGGUGAAAGGAACACAUUGGUUUGGACAUACCUAUGUACUAAAACUUUGGAAAAUCAAAUAAUGCACCCAAUCAUCUUAAUGAAAGUUGACCAAAUAUACUUUUUCCCAUAUAUCUUAUAUAAAUAACAUAUAUUCAAAACCAUGCUUUGCAUAUGGCUCCACAGCAAUAUUUUGGAGUACACAUGUAUGCCUUAUUUUGCCACUAGCCCAUUACAAAAAAAUAACCACAGAAAAUUAAUUAAUAGAAAAUUAAUUAAUGGUUCGCUCGAACAUGGAGUGAUCUCUUUUAAGACAUAAUUAUUUAGAGGUUCAUAAUUCCAAUAUGACCCAACACAAGAGUAUGCAUGCCUGUUACUUAGAGUUGGAUGCCACUCUUAUAUUCAGAGCCGGCAGUAAAGCUUUCAGGGAUGACAUCAUCGACGACACGGUAGCCACCGUUCUUGACAAGGAAGCGAACGGAGAAGGGGCCCUUGAGUGGUGCUUCACUUUUGAGUGUCCAGGUGUUAGAGCCUGACUCCUUGAGCCCCACCCAGUCCUUGCCGCCCUUCUCCUUGACCUCCACCUCAGAGAUGGCGACGUUGGUGACGAGCUCCAGACUAGUGGCGCUAGAGCCCUCAGCAACCUUGAAGGUGAGCUCUGUGGCACAUGAGCCAAUGACCAAUAGUGCAGCCGCCGCCACGGCAAGUCGGAAGGAGGACAUGGAGGCCAUUGGCUAGCUAGCUAGUUUUUUGGUGUAAUGUUUCUUGUUUCUUGGUUGGUAGAGGGAUGGAUCGAUGUGUUCGGUGAUCCAUGUUGCAGCUGGGUGCAUAUUUAUGGCGGAGGGGGGAGGGGGUGGUAAGAAAAUGUGCGGUGCAGCAUGGAGAUCGUUGGCAGCCAUUUUCGUUGAAGGACUCUUAUACAAUUGCUUUAAAUAGAUGCAAGGUUGGUAGUCCCGGUUGUUUCGCUAGCGUAGGGCAUGCAGGCCUCCCAAAAAGCAGCCAUUUUAACUUAUAGAUAAUGAGAAUUAGUCACCUCCUCAUGAUCCGUUCAUUGAGCAUGUGGACCCAUGCAUGAUCAAAUUGGGAGGGGGGUGGAUAUGCCAGUGGAAGAUAGAUGGGUGGCUGAGAAAAUGGUUAGGAAUGAUGAGCAAGGCACCGAGGGGCACCGUGUGGCAUGCAUAUAUAGUAUUCUUGGCAGAGGUGCAAUCAACAGUUCAAUGUUGAUGGCACCAUGGUGGUGAUGGAGGGUCCCAGGUGCUGCCCCGUUGUGGCUCUAUAUCUGAGACAUGGGUUUGCAUACAUGGCUAGAUGGUGCUGAUGCUAAUUAAUAUGGUAGUGCGCCCCUAGCUGGAUAUCGAACGGCGGUGGCAGUCGAUGAAAUAAAUUUGAAAGGAAUAAGAGAUGGCGAAUUGAUGAGGCAUAGGUGGAAAGGAGCACAUGGCCUUGGGGGAAAUAAUCCUACAAGUCGGUGUAGAUCGUGCUUCAAACAAGAGUGCACUUUAAAUUCAAUUUAAUUUUAAUUGGCAGGUGCACAUGUUGUUACAGUCAUGCAACAUGAGAGCUACAGGUGAGAGGAUGUCCUUGGGCAAGCGCUGAUGGAGAUUUGGAGGGUGUGCUUGACACUGGUGGAGAAACCAUCUUUGGUCGGUCGACCAGAUUUCACAAUAGUCCCGGUUGUAUUAAAAAUCGGGACUAUAAACAUCUUUAGUCCCGGUUUAAAAACUCCAGGGGUACUUUCCAAUCUUUAAGUACCGGUUGGUGUUACCAACCGGGACUAAAGAUUUAUUUGUAGUCCCGGUUGAUAACACCAACCGGGAAAAAAGAUCGCCAUACGCUUUACUCCCGGUUGGUAACCGGGACUAAAAAUCUAUUUGUAGUCCCGGUUGGUGUUACCAACCGGGAAAAAAGAUCAACGCAGAGAUCGGAGAGGCGUGCCGAUCGGAUCGAGGUAUCUCCUCCUCUCCUUUAACUCCUCUCUCCUCCUCUCCUCAACCUUAUCUGUUCCUCUCCUUAUCUAUUCCUCUCCUUCUCCUCUCCUUCUCCUCUCUACUGCAGUGGUGGGGCGAGGAUGCCAGGCCAGAGUGAAGCGGCGGGGCGAGGAUGCCAGGCCGGCGCGAGGGCAGCGGGGCGCGGAGGGCCGGCCGGCGCGGCGGCGGCGCGGCGCGCAGCGAGGCGGCGCCUACUUUGGCGGUUUUUUUUUUGGGAGAAUCUGAUAUUGUUGUGUGAUGUAUUUGAUUGGAUCUGAGAUUGUUGUGUGAUGUAUUUGAUUUGUAUGCGAUGUGGAUUUGUGAUGAAUUUUGUAGAAGUUGUGAUGUAAUUUUUUUAAGAUUUUGUGAUGUAUUUGAUAUGAUCGAUUUGUGUAUUUGGAGGCAAUUUGGGGAUGAUUGAUUAAUGAAAUCAUUGUCAUGAUUAAUAUUUGUGAUGAACAAUUGGUUGUGCAGAUGAUUUAAUCAAUGAAUUGGUUUGAGAGUUUAUGUGAAUGUUGGUGUGAGUGCGUGUGACUAAUGUGGGUCAGGUUGUGAUAUCUGUGCUCAGGAACGAUUGUUUUGUCUGAUUGUGUGCAGGUGACUUGAGGUCAGCCUUGGUCAAUAGUGAGAACCGGGACUAUGCUCAGGGAGGAGCAGAGGUCUAGUGCUGUCGAGGAAUGAUCCUCUCUAGCGGGUGACAGUGAGAUCCCCCUUUUGUGAGUUUGGCCGGGGGAAAAGGCACGCUUGACGAAAUCGUUUAUCCGCCCUGAGUGCUUCGAGAUCGUGCACGGGUGUCAAGAUUAUACAGGUUCGGGCCGCUAUGGAGCGUAAUACCCUACUCCUAUGGAUGGGAUUUAUGGUUGAGUGUUACAAAGGUUCCUAAACUCUGGAGAGCACUCUCGCUCUUCUUCUCCUAGGGUUUAGGCCUACUAGGAGUCGUCCCUUUUUCUCGAUGGGCAAGGUCCUCCUUUUAUAGUUCAAGGGGAUACUACAUGCACCGCUUCUACCUACUCUAUCACGAGAGGGGGACCCACUCUACUCAGACCGGACCACGAUCCAUGCCUUCGCCCAGAAGCUAAGCGGCCGUCCGUCCUCGAGUGGGACCCAGCACCACCUCCCGCCUGACACGGGGGACAGCCCUGUCAUUCCCUCUUAAAUGAACGAAGACUUGUGGCGGUCCUUCUCAUGUGGAGGGAGCUCCGGAUGAUGCCUUGAUGGGACGGGGCAUACCUGCCUCCACUCCGCCGGGUACAGGGGCGUACGUGGGGGCACGGCUGCCCGUCCGACCGGACGUGACCGGCGACGGGCUGGUCACAGUCUGGUCAUGCCUGAUUGACGUAGGUCAAUCAGGCCGCACCGCACGUCCGCCCUUACCGCAUUAAAUGCGGUGACAAACGGUUGGGGCGCCGCGCAUUGAUGGGGGUUCAGCCUGAGUCUCCUCCCCGCGCGCUCCCCUCGCCACAUGGCAGCUGGGCGAGGGCCUCGGGGCGAGGCAGCGCGAGGGCCCGAGGGACGUGACGUGGCACCCCGAGGCCCCCUGGCUGCCUUUGCGUCUUCCGAGGUGUGGGGGGAGGGCCAAGUUGUAGGGCCACGUGGCUAGAUUUGAAGGUAACUCCCCCGUACUUUGCAUACCCCCGGGCCCAUAUCACCGACAGUAGCCCCCGGCACCGCGUCGGACAUUGGCCCCCUGAGGGCGGUCUGGCGUGGUGCCUCAUGAGUUCCCGUGCUGUGGUUGUGGGUCCGGCGGGGAAUCUAGGCAGCCGCCGUCGGGUGGCCAGGCUGGCGCAUCAGCCAUAACGGCGAUUUGACCGCCACUAAGUGCGCCGUUCACUGGGGCACUUAGGGCGUGAAAGUCGGGGGGUCUGCCAGAUCACACCCAGAAUCGUCACCCAACGCCGCCUCAACUCCCCCGCCUGCUAGGCACGCGAAGGGACCGACGGCGGGCCCACCUAGCCACGCUCGUGAACACCACAUGUCCCGCGCCGAGUGCGCCACUAACAAACGCACUAACCGCGGGGCGCGGUUCAGUGGGGCGACGUGAUGAGUGGACGCAAGAAUCAAGGAGGCAACCGUAGGCGCAGGAAUCGAUGGGGCAACCGCAGGGGCGUGAAACGAGGAGGCGAGCGCGGACGAGGCGGGGAUAAAAGGGAAGGGAGGCGGAGAGUUCGUCUCCUUCCUCUCGCCGAUUGCACACCCGCAUACUCGCCCCUCAAGCCCUAGCGCUUCUCUCCCUCCAUCCUAUUCCGUACGCCAAACUCCUCGCCGUUUCCCGCCGGCCAUCAUGGCCCAAGAUGCUGGCGACGCCGUCCUCCCGGCAUCGCGCAUUACGGCGGAGAGGCACCUUAGCCUCAUCCGCAAGAUCAUCUGGAGGAUGCCGCCGUGAGGGUAGGGGAGACGCGGCCGUGGCCACGGUACCCAGAGCGAUCCGUGCACCUCCUGUCCUUCGCCAUGGUGGGGUUGAUCCUGCCAUUCUCCAAGUUCUUCCACGAGGUCUUGGAUUUCUACGAAAUUCAUGCCUUGCAUCUCGCCCCCAAUGCUAUGAUGACGCUGGCCAUCUUCGCGCACUUGUGCGAGAUGUUCGUCGGGGUGCGGCCGACGAUGCGGCUGUUCCAGUCCUUCCUCGUCCCACAGCUGCUGCAAGGCGCGGUGGGGGGAGGAUGCUACUUCCAGCCCCGGCAAGGCGUGGCGGGGCAGUACAUCGAUAGUCACCUCCGCAAGAAGUGGGAGGAUUGGAAGAAGGAUUGGUUCUACACCGCGCUGCCGGAUCGUCCACGACUUCGGCUCCCUACCGGCCCUCCCGAACGAUCAGCCGCGUGGUUGGCGGUUUCAGAGCUGGGCGAGGAGUACGACGCGGUGCGGGACCGCCUCAAGGGCCUGCAAAGCUAGGGCUUAACGGUGGCGAUGGUGUUCGGCGACUACUUCCGCCGUCGCAUCACGCCUCUCCAGGAGUAGUCCCGCGGCACGUGGGAGUACACCAGGUAUAACGAUCCCAUGUGCACCCACGUAGGUGAGCGCUGGGAUUGGGGCGAGGAGGACGCAAAGACGGUGGUUCGGCGGUGCUGGGUCUAGACACCGUCGAGCAAACGCUGAUUCCGGAUGGGAUCCUCCCCCUCUGCAGCGACCGCGACUGGGAGAAUAUCCUGGCUGUGAUGUCGGCCGUCGGUGCUGUAGGGGUCGGUCCCGUCGAGGCGCCGCCGAUGGUGGUGGUGGCGACGGUGUGGGUAGCAGCGGCGCCACCACGGGCGGCAGUCGGACCGGCGGCUCCGGCAGGGGUGGCGGCUCCAGGGCGCCCGGUCCGAGCCGUGGGCCCGGGGGAGAAUCGGCCGGCGACCCGAAGAAAACAAAUCUAACCAUCAAUUUUCAAUUAAAUUGGCAGACUUAUAAUUUCAUCAAUUUUCAUUUAAAUCAGUCGAGUUAUAAUUUAACAAUUGGAUUUAAAGACAUAAAUAUUUCAAACUGAUGAAGGCAUUAAAUAUACCUCAAUAAAAAUAAAAUCUCCUUACCAAAUAACAACGAAACAUUGAAAAACAUGAAAACGUAUAUUAUAUAUUCUUGAAUCGUUUUACAUAGUAAAGAUCGAUUAAGCGUGCUCUGUAGCACUCUCAAGUCACCACGUAUGAUAUUUUAAAACUUUGAAAAAAUUGAAAUUCAAAGAGAAAAUAAAGUAUAUAUCUAUCCAUCGGUUUCCACUUAAUUUGAUGACCCAUUAUUUUUAACUAUUAGAUUGCCUUUCUCUUUAUAAAAAAACUUAAGCCACCACAUGUCAUGUCUUAAAGAUCCUUAGAAUGAGAAAACAACAAAUCAUAGGUUCUCACUUAGAUUGUUUACGAAGAUUUUUUAUUAAAAAAAAAACAAUGUACCGUCCACCUCCCUCUCCAAUCAUAUUCACAUAACACCAUUGCACUGCGAACCCUUUCUCAUAUCUGAUUUGAGUUCUACGCUAUUCGUUUCUCUCCAGUCUCCUCCCUAUUUUCAGCUACAAAACUAUAGAGAGAAACAAAUAUUAAAAAGAGCAUAAUUUUAAGCUACACUGAUAAUUUUAUUUUAUAUAUCAUCUAAUCAAUUUUAGAUAAUGGUUUCUUUUUUAUAUAAAGUCACCACCUAUUACCCCAUAAAUCCUCCUAGGCCUUUUAAACCGAUAAGCCCAUUAUUUCCAACCAUUAGUUCUAUCUCAUCUUAAAAGACAAGCGUGUAUUCAUAAUACAUCAUCUAUCAAAAUAAUAUAUUGCACAACCAUAUUUCUUCAUCCAAUAUUAUUUGCGCUAGGUUGCAUGGAGUCUCACACACUCUCUACAUGGAACGUUCACAUAUGGGUUCUUUCUCAAAUUAAACAAUAAUAUAAACCCAUGCAUUUAGUAGAGCCUCAUAUCCCACCCAAUUCAUCCGUCAAUAAACAAUGACAACCUAUAUUCAAUUAAAAAACAUCUUACUUUUCAUUUUACACAUAAUUUUCUAUACAUGUUUUCUAACACAAAAUAUGUCUACCUACUUAGUAGAUGAUGAAGAAUAUUAUAAAUAAUUACUUGUAGGAAUUAAUUAAAUAUGAUAUGCUAUAAAGAUAACUAAUAGCUAGGUUAGACAAUUAUAAAAGCAAUGCUAAUGAAAACAAUUUAUGGAGAAAUCAUAUAUUGUAGAUGUUCAAACAUAGUGUACGACACAUGCCCGCGUGAAUACACGGGCUAUUUUCCUAGUUGAAUUAAAAAUGGCUACUCCUAUGUAAGAAUGUGCCCCUAUUUUGUAUGAAGUAUAUUAGCAAGAAUAUGAGCCUAGUGUAUGAAGUUUAGUUGACUUCAGAUUCAGUGGUGACUGCAACUUAAGAAUUGCACAUUUUUUUUGGUAUAUAUCCAUUUUGGUGGCGUUUUGGAUUUCUAGCUACAGUAACAACAUGAACAAAAAAAAGAACUGACCAAUGGCCAGUUAGAACUGUUUGCUCAAAAACCAGAAUGUACUACUACCCUACUUCCAACUGUCGGAGUAACUGCUAAUCGGCCACUCUUGCAUAUUGACUAUGAUGAUUUGCUUCUAGAACUGUGAAUGCAGCUCUGUGCCACAAUUUGUGCAGCUAUAUGAAAAUUCCAGAGAUUUCCCAAUCCUGUAAGCUAGUAAGCUGUAAAUUGUCAAAGGAAAAAAAAAGAUGGAAGUAUAUGAUGAUUCACCUAGCUAGCAAGGCCAUCGAGAUUUGUUAGAAGUUUUCUAUUCGUUUGCACAGUUUAUAUAUAUAUAUAAAAGCAGAUAUGAACCGAGGUUCAUCUGCACCCAGAAUCACUAAUGAAGAUGCGUGCUUUCUAAAUCGUUCCAAGAUGCGUGCUUUCUAAAUGGACCUUUCACUAAUGAAGAUUGUCUACACGAGAAAAUGUCAGGGAGGUACGUAAUGCAUGUGUUGCUCUGACAUGGGACAUGUACUUCCUGAGCAAAGAGAGAGAAAGGACAGAUGAGAGGUAGUUGACCACACAUCAUGUAGUAUUUACUCAUCAUUUGAAUAUUGUUUUUUUUCUCUUGUUAUCCAUGGAAAUUUAGUAUACAUGACCAUUUUGGAAAUAACACACGUGAUUUUUUUUUAAUUUCAAUACAUGUCAAGUUAUAUGUUAUCAUUUUGCGACAUCUUUUUUUUAGACAUGACUUUUCAAAAUGAUAUUUUCGUUGUAUUUCAUUUUCGGUGUCAACAAAUUGCAGUGUAUAUUAUUUUCUUUGUCAAUUAAUGAAAUUAUACUUUGUUAUGUAGCAUAUAUCUGUAAAAAUAAAAAUCAUGUAUUUUUUAUUUUAAUUUAUGCCAAAUGAUAUAUUAUUUUCACAAUGUCAUUCUUGGACAUCGGAUAUAUUGUAUUUGCGUGGUGAUUGGACAUUCAUCUUGAUAUAUCAUGUCCGAAUAAAACCAGAUAUAGAUUAAUUUCCGGACAUACAAAACAAGGUGGUCAGAUUAAUUAAAAAAAUCAACGUAUAUUUGAUGGCUAAUCACAUGGAGUAAUGUGAUUGUAGCCAAGAGAUCUAUUAAAACUACAUGUUCAUCUCUCUCUCUCUCUCUCUCAUUCUCUCUCACGGUCACAUUAGUGAAAAGACAUGAAUACAGUUGCAGACUAGUACUAGUACAUGGGUGGGUGAGAAAUGCAUGACUACAGCAUCAUUGUGUACCUGCCUAAAAUUUUCCCUAUAAGAGUUUGGGCUGGGUAGGUACAAGUUGUAGGAGCUUUGGUGAAAAUGAUGAUCAGCUACAACGAAAAGUAGACACGUGUCACAUGUGGGAUUGAGGUGCAGAUGCACCUAGGUUCAUAUUAUCCAACUCCUAUAUAUAUAUAUACAUAUACAUAUACAUAUAUAUAUAUAUAUGUAUAUAUAUUGAUAUCUUAUAGUCAUUACGGGUCUGUUCACUUUGAUGCUAAAAAAACCUUACUAAAUUUUGGCAUUGCCAAAAUUUUGGCAACUUGCCAAAAUUUUGGUAGGAUUUCUUAUAUAGUUACCAAAUUUUGGCAACAAACUAAAUGUAGCCACUUUUUUUGGCAACUUUACCAAAAUUUGGUAAGGUUGAAAAUGGCAUCAAAGUGAACAUGUCCUACGUACUAUAUGUAAUAUAGGUCAUUUUACAUUUGUUUUAAUGUCUAAGAAAAUUGUGGAUUAAGUAAUUGGGAUCCUCAGGCUAGCUAAUUUGUAUGACUCCGUCAAACGAAAAUGAAAAGGACUGUUUCGUAUGGUCGCUCCAUAAGAAUGGACAAUUUUCAGUCAAAUCUAUGUGAUUAUGAACUCUAAUGUUUGGAUAAAAAGAAUUAUAUGAGACUUAAAGGUUCCACUAAAGAUAAAGGUGUGUAUGUGGUUACUUCAUAAGAAAGUAAUUCUAAUGAAAUAAAACCUGGCCAAAAGAAAAGGGUGGGGGGAGGAAGAAACAUUGUUCUUUCUGUUAUCCACAAGAGAUAAUCCAACAUCUUUUCUUUGAGUAUUUUCAGGGUUACGGAUAAGGCAUACCUCCUAUCCUACGAUUUACCAAAUAUGCCGGAUUGGCAUAUCUCAUAUCCUACGAUAUGUUUCCGUAUGCGAUAAAGAAAUAUGCAAGGUAUUAUGGAAAAUAUCCUCACAGCAUGUAGAUUAUCAAAGUCCUACUAGGAGAGGAUAGAAAUUAUUCUAUAUCGUGCAGGGUUCGUUGUCUCCGAGUUCUACUUGAAGACUAAGGCAACUCAUGGUAUAAAAGGCACACUCCCGGAAGGGCUCGGGAUCAUCGAAUCAUAACGCCAACACACCCACCAUAGUUUACGAAGCCAAAGAACUCAAGCCGAAGUCGCCGGGAGAUCACGUUGAUCAAUCUCAACAAGGAUCUCGUCGGUAUCAUUGGAUUCAUCUAUACCCUUUGUACUAUGUGGUUUUCUAUAUUAAUCUCGUAUAAACUGGAUUAGGGCUAUUACAUCACGAGGGGCCUGAACCAGUAUAAUCCUUAUUUCUUGUCUGCUUUAAUAUCGUAUCGUUUAGAUCAUCGUACCAACGUACUCCACUACUCAAUUUAUCCAGUCUACGGGUAUCCACCGUUGACAAGUAUCAAGUUGCUCAGUUUGUUACAGAUGUGUAUUUUUUGUUUUUAAUAUCCCUCCACCCUGUAACGUCAAAAAUAUUUUUUGGUAAUUGGCUUAGAGGGGUACCUAGGUCCAUUAAAAAAUUGAUUCUAAUCGGAGCUAGUGUUGUAAGUUGGCCAAUUAUGAGUUGUCGUAAUGAUAAAGUUUUUAAUGCUAAAUAAUUGUCUAACCCUAUGCAGGUUAUCUUCAUGUCUUCCAAUUGGAUCCAUUUUUGGUCUACGAUGCUACCACAAGAGGAACAAGAUACCACGCGUAAUGGUGCUAUAUUUUUGCAAUCAGUAGCCAAGGGUCUCUUAUUUCACUAUGGGUGGCGUAGUUCCAUUAGAAUUGCUAGCUAAAAAUCUGUGUGGUUUAACGCUAGUUAAUAAUAAAGGGGGUUGGGGAAUUGUCCCAUCAUCUUAUUUCUCAUUUUGAUUUAUUUUUAUCUUUACCUUUUGUAUUAAACUUAUGACUUUGUGUGUUAUGACCGAAGCUGGAGAUGUAAUCCAUUUCCAUUAUCUAAAAAAUAAUUGGGAUGCCUCAUUCAUAAAACAUUGGUUAAAUAUUUGAAGUUAGCUAUUUGUCAAAAAUAUAUUUGAAGGUAUAAAAGUUUAUACGUACCAAACAUUCCAUCACCAAUCAUCUAAUGGACAAUGGUACGAAACAAUAAUUAAUCUGUAAACGUUGAACAAACCGGCAUACCAACACAAGCAGCAGUCGGAAUAUAUACAUAGUCUACAGAUAAUUAUCUAGUGCAAGCCGUUUUUUCCUGAGAUAAGUGGGUCCGUUUUGGUUCAGCAUCAAUCCCUUCGGCCUCACAUCAUCUUCAUCGUUGAUCUUCCCCGGCCACGUUUGGUCAUCCAUAUUUACACAGAUAUGGUCAGUUUUUUUUUCUAAUAGAUAUGAUGAUCCAAUUUCUUGUUUGAUUGGGUGGAUAAGAAUGGAUUGAACAUAUUAAUUAAUAAUAAAAUAUAUUAAUUAUCAUUAAUAUAGUCAUAGUUUAUACUAAUUAACAACAAAAUAGACUAAUUAUAUCUUAUCAAUACUAUUUUUGACAAGUUAAUUACCAAUUAACAACAAAAUAUAUUAAUUAUUGUAAAUAAUUACUAAUGAUAGAGAUUAGCAAAGGUGGAUAUCCUCAUUCAGAAAUUUAACCGGAGCAUUCAUCUAGCAUCUUCGUGGAAUGCUUCCUCUCCGGAGCACCCUAUCGAUCCUUACCCACCAAGUAGACACGUAAAAAAAACCGAAUCGGCAUAACCAUACAGUGAAGGCUGUUGACUUCUUUCCAUGGUGCAAGUGAACGUCCUGGUGCUUCCCAGGCCUAAUUAACAUGAUGCUAGCCAUGCCAAAGAGAAGCAUUAUAUUAGCAUACUAUAUAGAUGUAGGUUCACAGUGCCAUUUUUCAGAUCGGUUAGCCUGGUGUGGUAUUUAUGCUUGCCCCAAACCUCAAGCUGUCUGCUUUAAUAAAAUAAAUUGACUGGAAGGAUUGAUUUUAGAAUGGAAGUUCUGGUAUGAAACCCUCAGCAUCACUAAUAUAAAAAAGCACAUACAUAUUGGCACUAUAGGCACCGGAACAGCUAAAACUAGCACCUAUAGUGUUUUGCCCACCUCCACAGGCUGAAAAUACAAAAAAAAAAUCCAUCACCUUUAAGUGAAUAUAGGUGCCGGUUUAAUAUAAAAACCAAUACCUAUACUAUAAGUGCUAUUUUUUUAAAAAAAACCGACAAUUAUAAUAUAUUAAAAACCGCCAGCUAUAAUAUAUUAUCGGUGCCGGUAUUUAAAAAAAACGCACCUAUCAAACGAGCCGAGCCAAGAGAGAGCCGCGUGCGAGUGGAUAAAGGCACGCGUGGGAGGUGACGGGGGGCGACCUUAUCAUUCGCUGCCCUACUCUCACCCGUCUCUCUCCCCCUCUCACUCAGUCACCCCUUUCCUCCCCUCGUGGUGGUAAUGGUGUCAGCAGCUCCUGCGGGCCGGAUUCGGCGUUCCUCAGCCCCCUCCCGCAGAUCCAUCGGUGGCGGUGGCAUUUCCGAUGGGUGGAUCCAGUGAAGGCAGUAGCAGUGGUGUCGGCGGCUCCCGCUAGCGGAUCUUGCGGAGUUGGUGGCGGUGGCGUUUUCGGCAGGUUGAUCCGGCGGAGGCGACAGUGGUGGCGUUUUCGACGAGUGAAUCUGGCGGUCGUCUACCCCCUCCUCCUCAUCCACCGCGCCCAAGCUUCUCCUUCGGCAGCGUUCCCGUGGGCCGGAUCCGGUGUUGCUCAACCCCCUCCCGCAGAUCCGUCCGUGGUGGUGGCAUUUCCGGUGGGUGGUGGAUCUGGUGAAGGCAAUGGCAGUGGCGUCGGUAGCUCCCGCUAGCGGAUCUUGCGGAGUUGGCGGCGGUGGCGUUUCCGACGGGCAGAUCCGGCGGAGGCGAUAGUGGUGGCGUUUUCGGCGACUGAAUCUGGCGGUUCUCUACCCCCUCCUCCUCAUCCUCCGCGCCCAAGCUUCUACCGCAGCAGCGGCGGUUGCAUCGGCGCUCCCAUGGGCAUAUCCUGCGGAGGAGGCGGCGACGGCGUUUCCGGCGAGCAGAUCUAGUGAUCUCCCCCUUCGCCCCAACCUUCUCCCGCAGAUCUGGCGAUGGCGACGACUUCUCCGUUGGAUCUAACGGCGGCGGCGGCGACCCGCGGACGGAUCCGGUAGAUUUCUUGUUUGUGUUGUUUGUAUUGUUCUGUUUAUGCGAUGAUGAUGUCGUGAUUGAUUUUGGGGGCGAAGCGGGGGAACUCGCGCUUGAUGAAUCGGCUAGAUUCCAAACAGUCCAUCACCAAUCAUCUAAUGGACAAUGGUCCAAAACGUUGAACAAACCUGAAUAAUAGCACAAGAGCCAGAAUAUAUACAUAUACUGCUGAUAAUUAUAAAGUGCAAGCCGUUUUUUUCCAGAAAUAAGUGGUAUUAAUUCGUUUUGGUUCAGUAUCAAUCCCUUCGGCCUCGCUUCAUCUUCAUGGUUGAUCUUCCCCCCGGCCACGUAUCGAUCUAGUGAAAUGCUCCUAGUGUUUCCCUGGCCUAAUUAGCAUGAUGCUAGCCAAGCCAAAUUAAAUGAAAAAAGCAUUAUAUUUGCAUACUAGAUGUCGGCUCGCAGUGCCAUUUUUCUGACAGAUUAGCCUGUUGUGGUAUUUAUCCUUCGACCAAAUCUCAAGCUAUCUGCUUUAAUAAAAUAAAUUGACUACAAGGUUUGAUUUAAGAAUGGAAAUUCUGGUAUAUACGAAAUCCCCCAGCACGCUUGGAAUUCUAGUUUUUUGGAAAUCACCAAAGAGUCUGAUGGAUAUGAGAACUUUGCCUAGGAGUUGCAAAAUUUCAGUGUAAACAAUACUUUGUAGAUGCAUGCCAAACCACUUACUCUGGCAACUCUGAUAUACACAUCAAUAUGAAUGAAUGUUUGUUGUUUUUAAUAGGAAUGGUCCAGCGUGAAUCCUGAAACAACACCAAACUCACUGCGAACAAGUGAAGAAUGCAACUUCCGUAAUGCACUAUGUGGGAGUAGCUACACCCGGAUUCCCAAUGCCUCUUAAGCCUAAACUAGUUAAGUUAAGCAUGUGUACGUAUCUGAAGAUGUUUAUACACAAGGCAGCACAUGCAUGUUGGAAGGGUUUUCAAUAUGAUAAAUAUUAGAAUACGAGUUAAAGUAUCUUCAGCUUUUGGCUGAGCACUAGCCUUGGCCUAUUUAUAUAGUCCAUGAAUGGCUUGUACUUCUAUGGUCCAACACUAGUUUAAUAUCUGUAUUUCUUAAUUGCAAGCUCUCGUGACAUCAGCAUACCAGAUUUUUAAGUUAAUCCGGUAAUCUUAAUCUAGUUAUAGUAUCUAGAGAACUAAACAUAUUGGUAAAUGAGAGAGACGAUGUCCUUGGUGUAUAGCUUAUUUGAAAUGCAGAGAAACUCAUGUAUAUAUAUAGUGAAAGGCCCUCGAACUUUUGGAGAAGUUGGUUGUUUGUUUACACCACUUAUUAUCAUAUAUGCUGCAAUAAAUAAUAGAGAAGGGUCUUUACAAGCCCAUGGAUUGCAUUGCAUGACACAUAUCAUAGGAAGAACAGAGUAUUUUUCAUAGAAUCUUGAGAUGUUUGAGAACAUAGCUAUGAUGUGAUGAUUUGCUGCCCUGUUUAAUAUGCUUAAAUCCUGAGGUGAUAAUACAUUAUUUGCUCUGCUUAAUAGUUACAAUAGGUUGUCAUAUCUGAAUUAGCGCAUAUCUUUUUGACUCGAUUUCAGAGGUAGGUGGUGGACAUAUGGAGUCCUUCACUCCAUCUGCUCUAGUUCAAAUCGAUCGUGGUGUCUAUAGUUGUUGACACGUAACCACUUUUUUUUUUUGCGUGUGUGCAUAAAAAAGUUAAAAAGGUACACGUAUGAUUACGGAAGUUGGUUGAAUUUAUUGGAUAACAUUCACUUAUAAUCCCUCCAUCCUAUAUUAUAAGGGAUAUGACACAUUCUAGGACAUCUAGAUUCGUUGUCUUAAAAUGUAUCAUAUCCCUCUAAAAUUUCUUAUAUUAUAGGACGGAGAGAGUACAACAUUGGAGAUGUUGUAGCGAUGAAAUCGUCACCAACUAUCAAUCAUCAAUUUUGAAACGGUGUGCUGCACAUUCCCCUCUUCCAUCACAUUAUUUAUCUUUGUUGUUACUGUUGGCAACUUUUUGUGAGAAGUCGACAAGCACGAUCGCAGCACCUAAACACCUUACGGGGAUAUGGAGUCGGCAACUACCCCGAUCUAGCCAAACAACCAAAUCAAGAUGGGUUUUGUAAAAAGAAAGCUAAACCGGCUAGCGAAGCCGAUUUAGAGAUCAAAAUCAGCCUCUAGGCCGAUUUAAAUCAAUAUGAGGAUAACUAUCCAUCUUGUGGGCAAACGGAAGGUUUUUAGGACAAACCUAAUUUUUUGAGUGCGGCACCUCUUUGUGGGCAAACGGUGCAAAUCGAUAAAGAUGAACCAAAAUUAGGGUAAAGUAGAAAACAUGGCUAAAAGUAAAGUAAAAGAACGAUUCUAUUGAUUGUGUGUUUGUCAGGUAACAAUUGAACCGGCCUUGUUCCUUAUAUAGGGGUUGGUCUUGCCCUCUAUAAGCCCUUCUCCAUGUCCAACUCGGGAUAGAAACCAAUGGAAAUCCGAAACAUACCUUCCCAAGUAAGGAAACCAGAGACCCGAUGAAAAUGGAGUCUGACUCGGACUCUGCCAAUUAGACCGGCAAUGCCAUUGAGUUUAUUGCAUGUCUAAGAUUUGCCACUGACUUUGUCACAUUAUAUAAUAUACCAUCGACUUUUGCUUAACUUUUAUGAUUUACCAUUACUGUCCGGUUAGCCUCCAUUAGUACUGUACAAUUUUGUUCUAAUGACCAAAAUACCUCCAGGACAAAAACUUGCAAAAUGUAGACAAAAAUUCUAAAAUAUCAGAUUUUAAGUUUUUGGCCAAAUUUUGGAUGUUUACAAUAUGAUAUUUCAAAAUUUUUUUCCAAAUUUUGGAAGUAUUUGUUAUAGGGGUAUUUUGGUCAUUGGAUAAAAUUAUACAUUUCUCACGAAGGAUAACCGGACGGUGAUGGUAAGUCGUAGAAGUUAAGGAAAAGUCGAUGGCAUAUUGUAGAACGUGACAAAGUCAAUAGCAAACUGUAGACCUGUGACAAACACAGUGGUAUAUAAUGUAUUCUCUCGUAAGGUAAACGAUGUACCAAUAUGCUUAAUGCUUAUAGUUUUAGGUCAUAGUAUAGUCAAUUCAACUAUUUGUUUUUAGAAAAUGAAAAAAAAGUGUAGAUGUGACUUUACAAAUUUUUUGACAAGCUAAAAUAAGUGAAAUGGAUUACAUUGGUUUGGACAUAAGUAUGUACUAAAACUUUGGAAAAUCAAACAGAUGCAAUCAUCUUAAUGAAAGUUGACCAAAUAUACUUUUUUCCAUAUAUCUUAUAUAAAUGACAUAUAUUCCAAACAAUGCUCACAUACAGCUCCGCAGCAAUAUUUUGGAAGGACACAUGUAUGCCUUAUGUUGCCAUCGGCCUAUUACAACAAAAUAACCAAAAAUAAUAAUUAUUUGCUCACUCAAACAUGACACGAUCUCUUUUAAGAGAGGAUUAUUUAGAUGUUCAUAUUUCGCAUGUGACCCAACAAGAGUACACAUGUCUGUUACUUAGAGUUGGAUUCCACUCUUGUACUCAGAGCCAGCUGUAAAGCUUCCAGGGAUGACAUCGUCGACGACACGGUAGCCGCCAUUCUUGACAAGGAAGCGGACAGAGAAGGGGCCCUUGAGCGGCGACUCACUUUUGAGCGUCCAGGUGUUAGACGACGACUCCUUGAGCGCCACCCAGUCCUUGCCGCCCUUCUCCUUGACCUCCACCUCAGAGAUGGCAACAUUAGUGACAAGCUCUAGACUUUUGGCGCUAGAGCCCUCAGCGACCUUGAAGGUGAGCUCAGUGGCACAGGAGCCAACAACCAACAGUGCCGCCACCGCCACGGCGAGCCGGAAAGAGGACAAAGAGGCCAUUGGCUAGCUAGUUUGUUUGUUGGUGUAAUCUUCCUUUUUUC
rnacentral:lncRNA from 1 species